rnacentral:rRNA from 1 species
AACGGCCAUAUCAUGCUGAAUAUACCGGUUCUCGUUAGAUCACCGAAGUCAAGCAUCAUUGGGCGCGGUCAGUACUUUAGGGUGACCACCUGGGAACACCGCGCCGUUGGC